CAAUAACAAGCUAUGAACUGUUGAGGUGACAUCACCAAGAUGACAACAUAGUAGUUCUUGAUUUCAUUCACGCUCACAAGAAAAACAACUAGCAGCUAUUCAUGGACAAGACACCAACGAGAGAAUCUUAGAACCAUAUGUUGAUAACAGACAUUGGAACCUUAACCUGGAGGAUCUGAAGAUCCAUGAUGAAGAGGAAGAGCAUUUCCCUGGGAAACAUCUGCCAACUGUGAGGCCUGAUUGAGUCCCGUCACCUCCUAGAGUCCCCAGCUUCCACAUCAGCAAAAUGGUCUUCACGUGGCUGGCUCCUACUCAUUCUCUCAGAAGGAUCUUCUCAUGUAACCUUAAUAGCAAGUACUCUGGAGCUAGCCUGACUGGGUUCAAAUCCCAGCUCUGCCACCUUGAACAAGGUGAGUAUCAGGUGUGCCUGAGUGGAUGAAUUGUUGUGGGGAUUAAAUGAGUUGGUGUAAAUGUAAAGUCUUAGGAUAAUGCC